CAGAAUUUUGCUGGGGUUUAAAAAAAAUUUCAAUGAAAAAAAAUAAAAAAUAAAAAAUUAACUGUCUUAGUUGGCAACUGUCCUCAUGGCAAGUGCAAGGGAGGACAAAUGAAAAAACUUGAUUGAAAGCAUUAGUCGAUACAGAGGUCUGAUUGAAAUCAUUAGUCGAUACAGAGGUCAGAGUAUUAGCCAAGGCAUUUCUCUUUCCAGUGAUGCAGUGGUGGGCCUAAGAGCAGGAACUGUGAAGGGUUUUUUAGGAAGAGGUAGCACCAGUACUACAAUACAUAAUUUCCGUUCACGUCGCAUAUAUCGAGCACAUAAUAAUUGACCACUGUUCAGCAAAUUCACAAUCACACUGUUUCAAGCAAUUUCAUGAAGACAUUGUCCACCUAUCCAAUUGCCCACAGGAAUUUGAAUAUAAAAGCUGACAACAACCAACAGUUCAAUGUUGCAACUAUUGAAUGGCUUACAAUGUUUUUUGCAUACUUAUAGUGUUUUAGUUUUUGUAAAUAUAAAACUUUUCCAGCUGAACCACUACAUUCGAAAAUUUGUUUUGAAUACAAAAAUAUUUCACACAGUAAUUUUGAUACCUCUUUCAUGGUUGUUGCAUAUUAAAACUAUACAUGUUUAAUAAUGUUUUUUAAUAUCAUCAGAUUGAUUUUUGUUAGUCUUA